rnacentral:sRNA from 1 species
GAUUCGAACCUGCAGCAGGUCGAGUCGAACGCAGUGAGACAACGGAGCCGUUUACGGCGACGGCCCGAAGGGCGAGCGAAGCGAGUCAUCCUGCACGACCCACCA